rnacentral:rRNA from 1 species
GAUGAACGCUGGCGGCGUGCCUAAUACAUGCAAGUCGAGCGAACAGACGAGGAGCUUGCUCCUCUGACGUUAGCGGCGGACGGGUGAGUAACACGUGGAUAACCUACCUAUAAGACUGGGAUAACUUCGGGAAACCGGAGCUAAUACCGGAUAAUAUAUUGAACCGCAUGGUUCAAUAGUGAAAGACGGUAUUGCUGUCACUUAUAGAUGGAUCCGCGCCGCAUUAGCUAGUUGGUAAGGUAACGGCUUACCAAGGCAACGAUGCGUAGCCGACCUGAGAGGGUGAUCGGCCACACUGGAACUGAGACACGGUCCAGACUCCUACGGGAGGCAGCAGUAGGGAAUCUUCCGCAAAGGGCGAAAGCCUGACGGAGCAACGCCGCGUGAGUGAUGAAGGUCUUCGGAUCGUAAAACUCUGUUAUUAGGGAAGAACAAAUGUGUAAGUAACUAUGCACGUCUUGACGGUACCUAAUCAGAAAGCCACGGCUAACUACGUG